AGUUCGGAUUGUAGUCUGCAACCCGACUACAUGAAGCUGGAAUCGCUAGUAAUCGCGAAUCAGAAUGUCGCGGUGAAUACGUUCCCGGGUCUUGUACACACCGCCCGUCACACCAUGGGAGUCGGAAAUGCCCAAAGUCAGUGACCUAACCGAAAGGGAGGAGCUGCCGAAGGUGGAGCCGGUAACUGGGGUGAAGUCGUAACAAGGUACC
rnacentral:rRNA from 1 species